UACGUAGGUCCCAAGCGUUGUUCGGAAUCACUGGGCGUAAAGGGAGCGUAGGCGGCGUGGUAAGUCAGAUGUGAAAUCCCGGGGCUCAACCCCGGAACUGCAUCCGAUACUGCCAUGCUAGAGGAUUGGAGAGGUAGCUGGAAUUCUUGGUGUAGCAGUGAAAUGCGUAGAGAUCAAGAGGAACACUCGUGGCGAAAGCGAGCUACUGGAAAAUUCCUGACGCUGAGGCUCGAAGGCUAGGGUAGCGAAAGGG
rnacentral:rRNA from 1 species